CGAACGGGUGAGUAACGCGUGAGGAACCUGCCUCAAAGAGGGGGACAACAGUUGGAAACGACUGCUAAUACCGCAUAAGCCCACGGCUCGGCAUCGAGCAGAGGGAAAAGGAGCAAUCCGCUUUGAGAUGGCCUCGCGUCCGAUUAGCUAGUUGGUGGGGUAACGGCCCACCAAGGCAACGAUCGGUAGCCGGACUGAGAGGUUGAACGGCCACAUUGGGACUGAGACACGGCCCAG
rnacentral:rRNA from 1 species